AGGUGGGUCUUGUAUCUUAUCUGUUGAUUUCAUUGGUUAAUAAUAAAGAAACUGCCUCGGCUCUCAUAGGACAGAAAAUUAGGUAGGCGGAGUAGACAGAGGAGAAUGCUGGGAAAAAGAAGCUGAGUGAGGAGUCGCCAUGAUGCUCCCACUCCAGACAGACGCAGGUUAAGAUCCUCUCUGGUAAGCCAGCUCAUGGGCUACACAGAAUAUUAGAAAUGGGUUAGAACAAUAUGUAAGAGCUAGCCAAUAAGAAACUGGACCUAGCCGGGCCAGGCAGUGUUUGAAAGAA